AGCGAACGCUGGCGGUAGGCCUAACACAUGCAAGUCGAACGGCAGCACAGUAAGAGCUUGCUCUUACGGGUGGCGAGUGGCGGACGGGUGAGGAAUACAUCGGAAUCUACUUUUUCGUGGGGGAUAACGUAGGGAAACGUACGCUAAUACCGCAUACGACCUACGGGUGAAAGCAGGGGAUCUUCGGACCUUGCGCGAUUGAAUGAGCCGAUGUCGGAUUAGCUAGUUGGCGGGGUAAAGGCCCACCAAGGCGACGAUCCGUAGCUGGUCUGAGAGGAUGAUCAGCCACACUGGCACUGAGACACGGUCCAGACUCCUACGGGAGGCAGCAGUGGGGAAUAUUGGACAAUGGGCGCAAGCCUGAUCCAGCCAUACCGCGUGGGUGAAGAAGGCCUUCGGGUUGUAAAGCCCUUUUGUUGGGAGAGAAAAGCAGCAGGUUAAUACCCCGCUGUUCUGACGGUACCCAAAGAAUAAGCACCGGCUAACUUCGUG
rnacentral:rRNA from 1 species